UCUCAGUUCGGAUUGCAGUCUGCAACUCGACUGCAUGAAGUCGGAAUCGCUAGUAAUCGCGGAUCAGCACGCCGCGGUGAAUACGUUCCCGGGCCUUGUGCACACCGCCGGCCACGCCCUGGAAGUCGGCAGUGCCCGAAGUCGCCGACCUAACCCCUUCCGGGGAAGGAGGCGCCGAAGGUAAGGCCGAUGACUGGGGCGAAGUCGUAACAAGGUAGCCGUACCGGAAGGUGCGGCUGGAUCACCUCCUUUCUAAGG
rnacentral:rRNA from 1 species